ACUCCUACGGGAGGCAGCAGUGGGGAAUCUUGCGCAAUGGGCGAAAGCCUGACGCAGCGACGCCGCGUGGGGGAAGAAGGCUUUCGGGUUGUAAACCCCUUUCAGGAGAGACGAAGCUACUCGGGUUAAUAGCCCAGAGGGCGACGGUAUCUUCAGAAGAAGCCCCGGCUAACUACGUGCCAGCAGCCGCGGUAAUACGUAGGGGGCAAGCGUUGUCCGGAUUUAUUGGGCGUAAAGAGCGUGUAGGCGGCCAUGUAGGUCCGUUGUGAAAACUCGAGGCUCAACCUCGAGACGCCGAUGGAAACCAUGUGGCUAGAGUCCGGAAGAGGAGAGUGGAAUUCCUGGUGUAGCGGUGAAAUGCGUAGAGAUC
rnacentral:rRNA from 1 species